GGCUUCAUAGCUCAGUGGUAGAGCGUUUGCACCGGAAUCGCAAAGGUCAUGGGUUCGAAUCCUGUUGGAGCCU
rnacentral:tRNA from 1 species